AAGCUUGCUGCUUUGCUGACGAGUGGCGGACGGGUGAGUAAUGUCUGGGAAACUGCCUGAUGGAGGGGGAUAACUACUGGAAACGGUAGCUAAUACCGCAUAAUGUCGCAAGACCAAAGAGGGGGACCUUCGGGCCUCUUGCCAUCGGAUGUGCCCAGAUGGGAUUAGCUAGUAGGUGGGGUAACGGCUCACCUAGGCGACGAUCCCUAGCUGGUCUGAGAGGAUGACCAGCCACACUGGAACUGAGACACGGUCCAGACUCCUACGGGAGGCAGCAGUGGGGAAUAUUGCACAAUGGGCGCAAGCCUGAUGCAGCCAUGCCGCGUGUAUGAAGAAGGCCUUCGGGUUGUAAAGUACUUUCAGCGGGGAGGAAGGGAGUAAAGUUAAUACCUUUGCUCAUUGACGUUACCCGCAGAAGAAGCACCGGCUAACUCCGUGCCAGCAGCCGCGGUAAUACGGAGGGUGCAAGCGUUAAUCGGAAUUACUGGGCGUAAAGCGCACGCAGGCGGUUUGUUAAGUCAGAUGUGAAAUCCCCGGGCUCAACCUGGGGAACUGCAUCUGAUACUGGCAAGCUUGAGUCUCGUAGAGGGGGGUAGAAUU
rnacentral:rRNA from 1 species